rnacentral:rRNA from 1 species
CACGUAAGUUGCGAGCGUUGUUCGGAAUUAUUGGGCGUAAAGGGCAUGUAGGCGGUAGUGCAAGUCUGGUGUGAAAGGCGGGAGCUCAACUCCCGGACUGCGUUGGAAACUGCACUGCUUGAGUGACUGAGGGGCAAUCAGAAUUCCUGGUGUAGGGGUGAAAUCUGUAGAUAUCAGGAAGAAUACCAAUGGCGAAGGCAGGUUGCCAGCAGAUGACUGACGCUGAGGUGCGAAGGUGCGGGGAG